rnacentral:misc_RNA from 1 species
UAGGGAUGCCGGAGCUCUUACUCCGGCGGGCGCCGGUCCCCUUGAUGGCUUUUGCCGUCGGGAUCAGCCGGCUCGCCUGGAAAUACGUCGACCUCGACGAUCCACGAACGUACGCUGUUGAGUUUUGAAGGACUGGGCGCUCGAGCCCGCGCGGACCUUGAAAACUCCAUAGCGACAUCUAUACCGGUGUUCUUCU